GAAAUUCUUUCAAUGGGAAGAAGAGAGAGAGAGAGGAAAAAGCCCUAAAUUUGGAGACAGCGAUGAUUUGUGCUUAUGUGUCGAUUUUGUUGGAGGUGAAGAAGAGAAAUGUAUACGCGUAUAAGCUCUUUGUCUGAAAAUGACUUCCCUUGACUUAUUAGGGAAGUCAUUUUCCCUCAAAAUAAGGAAAAUAAGUGACUUUGAAAAAUAUUUUCUAAAUACUUUUUUACAACUAAAUAAAAGAAAAUGAGAAAAUAUUUUCUAGAAAAUAUUUUCCAUCAUACCAAACACAUGUGGGCUGACUUGGGCCAGCAGAAAGAUUGCAAGUUGGCCUAAUUGUUCCCUUUAUUAAGUGCCCAAUGAAUUAAGAUACCACUAAAUUGGUGGAUUAUCACGCUUUUAUAGUUAUGAUGAAAAUGGCACUUUUUUCUGCAAGUUCCUUCCUACUUCUAGCAAACAGACAGAGAUACAAAUUGCAUUCAUCAAAGCAUAAUUCCAGGGACAUUUUAGUCUUUUCCUGCUCCAUCCAAGGGAUAUUAGAGUCUUUCAAUUUGGAUAGUCUUCGUGGUAUUUCGACAACAUUAUAUGUGCCUACAUUGUUUUAUAUACACAGCAGCUUACAUUGUUUUCCUGGCAUCUUUUGGGCUCUUCUUCUCUGUUUCCAACAACUGCUUUCUUUCGCAACUUCUGGCCUCUACUUUUCCAUUUCCAGCUUUAGUUAAUUGUAGCGCCAUACAAUAUACAACUGACCAAAGCAAGCACUUCCGGGACAUCAUCAUUAUAGACUAGAGCAAGAAACCUUUCCUAUUUACUAUAUGGGGUGAUCUAUCCAACAACGAAGGAACUGCAUUACUACACCAUCUACAUGAGUAUCCUGUCAUUCUUGCCAGGUGUAUAGGGGUUACUGAAUUUCGUGGUGGUAUAUUCAUCAGCCCAUCUUCUGCGACUCUUCUUUUUACUUUUUCCUUCUCUAUAUUGAAUUAAAAAUGCUUCUUGUCCUUCACAUACACAGCUCUAAGACUAGCAACAAGAUAUCAGUCUACAAUCUUAACAAAUCCUCUGUACGUGCAUUCUACUAUACUGGCAAACUGGUAUACACUAACAUGCACCCUUUUCGUAGGACUAUGCUAAAACAUAUUUUUACUAUUUCAUCUAACCUUUUCUAGGGUGAAGUACAAUGAACGAAUGUUGGUGUCUUACACUUUAAUAAGCUCAUCAUCAUCAUUAUCUUUAAAUCUUGCACCAAUUGAAGGUGCUAUCUAUAUCCACCAUUCCAGAGUUUUUAUCUACGGUUAGUUUAUCCCAUAACAUAUACAUGCACUAAUUAUUUUCAUAUGCAACUAAGCCCGUAUCGAAAAGUACAAGUUGUAAGCUCGAAGAAGUUUAUAACAUUUUUUACAUUAAUACUGCAGGUACAAAGUUUCCCUGUGGAAGCCAGAUUAUUACUCCCUGACCAUCCUCAAUCAUUUUAUCUGCUCGCAUGCUCAAAUUGCAGUCACUUUGUGCGCCCAAAAAUCAAAAUAAUGGUUCGAUGCUUCAGCUGUAAACUAGAAUAGUAAUUAUUUCCUAGGUAACCACUGCAACUACGACAUUACAUACACACUCUAUUAUGCACUUUGUUUUUCCUGCCUUCUAUGGUAAAACUUGAAAAAGUGUGUGUGUUUUUCUGUUUUCUGCAUUUUUGAAUUUUGUUUCUACUGAUCUCAUAGAAGGGCAGCUUAGCACUUUUUUAGGAAUAGCCUCUUUAUCUUGACGCAAUAGAGGUAAAUUUUACGUACAUUCUAUAAUUCGGAAAAAUUGAUUGAGCUAGUUAUGUUGUUGUCGAUCUAAAAGGAGGAUACUUGAUCAGUUUUCACAAACAACCUUUUCAUGUCAACAAGAUAGAGUUUGACCUGAUUAUAUUUUUGUUGAUAAUCUAGAACAAUGGAAGUAGAACCGUAUCCAAAAAUAGCCUCUUCAUCUCGACAAAAUAGAAGUCUCUCUCAGAUGCAUGAUAAAAGUAGAUCUCAAAAGUCCUAUGACUCUUUGGAGUAGAGUUUUACUGAGCAAGUUUCGCAUGAAUUAGGCUUUGCACAUAAAAUGUCUAACUGCACCAUCAAGUGUAUACAAACAGUGAGCUAUACUUUUCUUGACAAUGGACAAUUGUUGGAUACUACAAAAGCCAAAUGAGGGGUUGAGACAAGGGAUCCUAUGUCCGCGGACAUAUUCUGGUUGGGUAUGGAGUAUCUUAAUAGGUGCCAAAAGGGAUUGAAAAAUCAAACUAUUUUUGCCUAUCAUUGUAUAUGUAAGAAACAGAUUAUUACUCACCUAUGUUUUGGAAUAACUUAGUACUAUUUGCUAGAUGUGAUCUAAGUUCAGUCUUAUGCCUAAAGAAAUGAUUUCGCAUGUUCUCUACAGCUUCAGGUUUGAAAGCUAAUAUGGCUAAAAGUCAAGUAUUAACUCAAAGUUAGCAUUUUGAUAAUGAGAAAUUUGUUAAUUUAAUUGUGUUUAAUUGAGAUUGGUUGACAUGUGUUAUCCAUGUUGUUUUAGUAGAAAAAUACUUUAGCUGCGCGGACUCUUCACUUUUGAUACCGCACUCGUGUCGGAUUCUCCAGACACACUAGCUUUGAUGAAUCCAACAUGCAUCCGUUGGUAUUUUUUGAAGACUCCAGGCAACAUAAAUUAUAACGCAGAACAUUUUCAGUAUGACUAUCCUAAAAUUCACUUUCUCGAUGAUUAGAAAAAUUGGUGCAAUUAGGAAGCUUUGGCAAAAGUUGGGAAAUAUGACUCAGAUAGUGAUCAAAAAAAAGUUCCUAACAGCUAAAGCUUACAAGAAAAUCAAAAGUAAAGUUGAUAAUAGUCCAUGUACUAAACUAAUUUUCCAUGAUAAUGUAGAACCUAAGAAUGUAUUUAUGUUAUGUGAGUAUGCAUGGUAAGAUCAAGACUCAGGACAAACUUUUCCAGUAGAGCAUCAAUUUGGAUACCGCUUGUGUUUUCCACCAGACACAUCUUGAAACCAGAAAUUAUUUAUUCUUUCAAUGUGUUGUGACUGGUAGACUUUGAAAUAUUAUAUAGCUGUGGCAGGCUGGAAAGAUUGACACACAGGAGAGGUGAUUUUGAAAGCUAACCUAACAAUAAUUAUGCAUGCUAUCUGGAUAGAGAGAAGUACAAGGAUUUUUUAAUUUUUCAGAAAACAAAGACUGAAUUGGAGAAGCUAAUUCGACGACUUAAAUCAACGCUAUGCAUUACACUUUGAACCAGUCCUAAAUUCUUUGAUUGUAUUGACAAACUUUGAGGUUGUUGGUGAGAGGCUCUUCCAGGGAUGAAUAAUAAACCAAGAAAAUUGUCUUCUGGAGUAUUGAUGCAUGAGAAGUAACUAAAUUUGAUGUGAGAUUUGUUUUAUUCUCUUACUGUAGACACGUAAUUUUGUCCCUCCGAAAUUCAAUUUUAUUCAUUUUUAGCUCACACUUUACUACGCACCCUCACCCGUACGAAAAUCCCUCCACAAAAUAACAAAACAAUAACCUCUAACUAAUUUUAUCUUAUCCUAACAACCUACCCAAUCAAAAUAAACCAUCCCUACCCCACGUCACCACCCUUACACAUUUUUAUUUUUCUUUGUCUUUUCCAUAACAAAUUCACACCAUGGAACCCACACUAUAUGGACACAUACACAAUUCCAAAAAGGAGAAAAAUGGAAACAAUGCACACAAUUCUUUAGGAGGACCCCACAACAAUAUUCAUUCACUAACCAUUGUCCAUUUUUAGAGAAUAUAUAUACAAUACAUAGACAACAAAAAAUAGGGGGAGCAACAGAUCUCACCCCUAGGCAGCCCACCCCCUCCCUCACGUUUUUUAUUCUUUUUGACCAUAUACACACUAUUAAAGAGGGGGAGGCCAUUUUUUUUCUUUUCUUCUUUACUGACCUCACAAAUCAAGAUACACAAUAAACACACAGUAAAACAAAGAUACUCAAUGCCCUCACUGAUUCAACACCAUAAACACGACAGCAACUAUUGACGAUCUUCUAUUUUUCUUCUUCACGAAUACACACUCACCCACAGCUAAUUCACAAACAUAAUCAAAACACACACUGCUACACGUAAACACGCACAUAGUGAAUCAAAAAGCUGGUCGGAGUGAGCAAAACAGGGAUCGGGGAGGGAGAAAUCUAUUUGUUGUCGAGAAUUUCUGGCGAAAUUUCUGCUGGAACUGGUGACCAGUCCAUAUAUUCGACGUACCCAACUCCGAAAUCCUCUAAUUUCUUCAUUUUUUUGGGUUUUAAGAGAAUCUGAUCCUUUCUUAUCUAUCUUAGCGACUCGUUUCCGAAAUCGAGCUUCGGAUUCUUCAAUUUUCUUGUGAUUUAUUUUGGGUUGCUUGAGGAUUCCUUCUUGGAUUGUAUUUCGUGAAUAUUCCGUGGUUCGAGUUUGUUUGACAGUCGGGUGUGGUAUUCUUCGAGGUUUCGGACAGCUUUGUUAUUUUCCUAAUUCAUUUGGAAAUGCUCCAAAGGUGCCACUUCGAGGUUAACAUCACGGAUGGCAGUAAUACAAUCAUGGUAAAGAUCUCAGAAAUGUUGGGUGAAAGAAUCUUAUCCUUAACCGCCGAACAAAUAUACGAAUGUGUUACUGUCCAGCAACAAUCGCUAUCUAUUGCCCGCCUAAACCAGCUGCUCGCUUAUAAACUAUUCAAGCUCUAACUACAAAAGCCAUUAUUCAGAUUUCCUGAUCAAACAACUGGUAUGCUAGCUACCACCUCCUUCACUGAAAUCCCAAUUUCUCUCGGAGAGGCAGAUAAGAGGCAGAAAAUCAAUCCACCCACCCUAGCGAAAAAAAUUAAAGGUACCAAUACUUUUAAAAUUGAAUUUCCUACUGUGGGAUAGUUAUUAAACGACUUUGGCUUAAUUAUAAGGCGUUUGACAUUAAUUGAAUUCAUUAUUUCUUAACACUUAUGUUUUUAGAAUCUUAGCCUUAAAGAUGGAUUCCUCAAAUAUGAUUUUAGUUGGUGUGACUUUCACUGUCGAAGAUUUUUACUGUGCACUUGAAAACUAUGACCUUCAGUCAGUCAUAGGUAACAACAUUAUCUCAUAUUGUUGUAUAUAGUUUCUGUAGUUACAAAUUUAUUUUUCAUAUGAUUUCGCACUAUGAGGUUGCUGUUAUAUGGCUUAAUUAUGUGUAUCGGUAAUUUUUUUGUGCUUGUGAAUUGUAUUCAGAUAAGUUAAAUGUUGUAAGUUCAACAGCUAUAACAUAUACAUUACAAAAAAUGUGAUCUACUUUGAACUAUUCUACGCAAGUGAAAUUUUUUUAAAAUAUCUUUAAUAGCAGAAAAUUGACAUUUUGUUUCCAACAUUCACAGCAUCUCAAUCUCACCAGGUGACUACAACUACAUUUUGGUGGCCUCUACCAUUAUAGCAUAUACAAACGAAUUUUGCUUCGCUAUACCAACAUCACAGUGUCAGACUACAUAAACAAAGUUUUUGCAUUUUGAUGCAACAUCACACUUUAAUGUAUGAAACUUGCAUGUUAAUAGUUUGUUUUUGCGCUUUGAUGUAACAAUCACAGUUUAAAUGUACGAAACUUGCAUGUUAAUAGUACGCCUCCCUUCCAGCAACAAAAAUUAUAAAACUCAUAAUUAUUGUUGGGCUCAUGCUUG